rnacentral:rRNA from 1 species
AUUGAACGCUGGCGGCAGGCCUAACACAUGCAAGUCGAGCGGAAACGAGUUAUCUGAACCUUCGGGGAACGAUAGCGGCGUCGAGCGGCGGACGGGUGAGUAAUGCCUAGGAAAUUGCCCUGAUGUGGGGGAUAACCAUUGGAAACGAUGGCUAAUACCGCAUGAUGCCUACGGGCCAAAGAGGGGGACCUUCGGGCCUCUCGCGUCAGGAUAUGCCUAGGUGGGAUUAGCUAGUUGGUGAGGUAAGGGCUCACCAAGGCGACGAUCCCUAGCUGGUCUGAGAGGAUGAUCAGCCACACUGGAACUGAGACACGGUCCAGACUCCUACGGGAGGCAGCAGUGGGGAAUAUUGCACAAUGGGCGCAAGCCUGAUGCAGCCAUGCCGCGUGUGUGAAGAAGGCCUUCGGGUUGUAAAGCACUUUCAGUCGUGAGGAAGGUAGUGUAGUUAAUAGCUGCAUUAUUUGACGUUAGCGACAGAAGAAGCACCGGCUAACUCCGUGCCAGCAGCCGCGGUAAUACGGAGGGUGCGAGCGUUAAUCGGAAUUACUGGGCGUAAAGCGCAUGCAGGUGGUUUGUUAAGUCAGAUGUGAAAGCCCGGGGCUCAACCUCGGAAUUGCAUUUGAAACUGGCAGACUAGAGUACUGUAGAGGGGGGUAGAAUUUCAGGUGUAGCGGUGAAAUGCGUAGAGAUCUGAAGGAAUACCGGUGGCGAAGGCGGCCCCCUGGACAGAUACUGACACUCAGAUGCGAAAGCGUGGGGAGCAAACAGG